rnacentral:rRNA from 1 species
UACGUAGGGUGCGAGCGUUAAUCGGAAUUACUGGGCGUAAAGCGUGCGCAGGCGGUUCGUUAAGUUCGAUGUGAAAGCCCCGGGCUCAACCUGGGAACUGCAUUUGAAACUGGCGGGCUUGAGUGUGGCAGAGGGGGGUGGAAUUCCGCGUGUAGCAGUGAAAUGCGUAGAGAUGCGGAGGAACACCGAUGGCGAAGGCGGCCACCUGGACGGUUACUGACGCUGAGACGCGAAAGCGUGGGGAGCAAACAGG